UACGUAGGGUGCGAGCGUUGUCCGGAAUUAUUGGGCGUAAAGGGUUCGUAGGCGGUAAUACAUGUCAGAUGUGAAAUCUUGUGGCUUAACCACAUCAAGCAUCUGAAACUGUAUAACUUGAGUGGAGGAGAGGUAAGUGGAAUUCCUAGUGUAGCGGUGAAAUGCGUAGAUAUUAGGAAGAAUACCAGUGGCGAAGGCGACUUUCUGGACUUAUACUGACGCUGAGGAACGAAAGCGUGGGGAGGCAAACAGGAUUAGAUACCCUGGUA
rnacentral:rRNA from 1 species